rnacentral:rRNA from 1 species
GGAGACGCAGGUGUGCCUUCGGGAACUGUAAGACAGGUGCUGCAUGGCUGUCGUCAGCUCGUGUUGUGAAAUGUUGGGUUAAGUCCCGCAACGAGCGCAACCCUUAUCCUUGUUUGCCAGCACUUCGGGUGGGAACUCCAGGGAGACUGCCGGUGAUAAACCGGAGGAAGGUGGGGACGACGUCAAGUCAUCAUGGCCCUUACGAGUAGGGCUACACACGUGCUACAAUGGCGCAUACAGAGGGCGGCCAACUUGCGAAAGCGAGCGAAUCCCAAAAAGUGCGUCGUAGUCCGGAUUGGAGUCUGCAACUCGACUCCAUGAAGUCGGAAUCGCUAGUAAUCGUGGAUCAGAAUGCCACGGUGAAUACGUUCCCGGGCCUUGUACACACCGCCCGUCACACCAUGGGAGUGGGCUGCAAAAGAAGUGGGUAGUUUAACCUUCGGGAGGACGCUCACCACUUUGUGGUUCAUGACUGGGGUGAAGUCGUAACAAGGUAACCG